UAAUUUAACCAAAUUUUUUCCAUCUCCUCCGGUGGCUACAAGUACAAUGAUCAACUUUGAGUCCUAUGUCUUUAGGACUGUUGGGAGAUCAACUUUGAGGAUCUGAAGCUCGGUGACCUCCUCACCACAUGAUUCGUGUACUCUACCAGCGUAGUGGAGUCGAUCCUCGACUCGUUGCGCAAGGACAGUUACGAAAAACAUGCCUUCGUCGAGCUAGGGUUUGAUUGGAACGAGACCUUCGACUUCAAAGUCGCGUUCACCGAUCACGAGAAGUAUGUCUACCAUGAGCAUGUGAAGGAAUUUGGUGACUCUGCCAUCGCUGAAGAAUAUGAAAUCGACAUUCAUCUUGCCGCCAACGCUUUCAUCAAACGGCAAUGACGGCGUCGAUUGUUCUUUCGCCGCCUUUACCUCCUUCAUCGACAACGAAAUCAGUCUUGGCAACGCGUGGAGCAAAUUCUACUCGACGACAAACAUCCCAAACCCAACAACGGUGCUUCUACCUUCGGCUUCGAUUCUUAUGGUAGUUGAACAAUUUUGACAAGCUUUGGAGAUUUCACCAUAGUGUGUGCCUGCACAAUAUGGACUUGCUUUGGGGCUGCUUGGUUUGGCAAAAAGACUGCAUCAAUCUAGGAGCAUAUAGAUGGGGGGCUUCACUGUUACAGGUUUUUCUCUUCAAUAUUUUGUCUUUAAUAAUUAUUAUGUUGUUUUUUAUUAAGUUUUCAGUGCUUUGGUUGCUUUUAUAAAUUCUUUUAGAAGGCUUCUGAUGCAAAUAUGUUACAGGCUUCUCAAGAGGUUCAAGAUUUAGAUGUAGACAACCUUUUGUUUAUUUCUCAAAUUCUGUGUGGUGGAGACUAAGAGUGUAGUUAUCAAACAUUGUUAUUGCUUAUGCAUUAAUGGCACAUUAAAUAGUAAUCAGAGGAAGAGAAAAAGCAUAAGAAAAUGGAAUAAAGCAAAGGAAGAGUUUGUGUAACAAGAGGAACAAGCUUUAUUGGUUCAUGGAUUAUCAAGAACCUCCUUCAAGAUGGUUACUUUGUUAACACCACUGAGAAACAACUCAGGGACUCAAUCCUUUGAUGUUCAUGUUUGUUGUACUUGGGAAUACCGCUUAUGUAGCCAUGUAUUAACACUGGUAAUACUCCUGCUAAGCUAUUUGUUGUGGAUGAGUUACUUCUUGUGAUAGUAUACAUGAUGGAUAUUAAAUUGGCAGAAAAUUUGCUCUCUGCAGUAUAUCAGUGGCCUUUUUGUUACUAGCAAGAAGAUUACUAAGUAUUUAAAUUUGACAAUGUGAUUAGUCUAAACCUUCUCUGUUAUGCUUCCUCUGUUUGCCACAAAAAGCAAGCAAAUUAAUAGCAAAAAGAUCAUCACAAAUGGACAAUCUUCCUUAUAAAGCAACUUUUAAUUUUAAGUGAGCAGGUAAUUCUGUCAGUCUUCUUAGUGAAGUUUUAUAGGCUUCAUUAGAUAGGAAUGAUGACCAUAAAAGAUGUCCUAAACAUAGUAUGCUGCUUCACUUUGUUUUAGUCAUUCACAAUCCUAAGAGAAAAAGUUCCUUUAAAUCUAGUUUUUAAUAUUUUUCUUGUGCACAGAACAAUUGGUUGAAUCCGUUUUGAGCAAGGUUUUAGAGGAGUUUGACAAAGCAAAGUAACAAGGAGAUUCUUGGACUCAAAUCCAAUGGUGUUUUAGUUGAGGGUCUUCAUUUCAAACCUGCUUUUGCUUCUUCUUUUGUUUUUAUUUUGAGAUUCUGCGAAUUGAUAUAGUAAUCUUCUUAUUAGUUCCAAGGGAUUGUGACACGUACUGACAUUUAAUUAAGUGUUUUUUACUGUGUUAUGCUAGUUUCUGUGAGUUAUUAAUGUUUAUGUUAUGUUAGGCCUAUUUUUGACUUUUAAUUUUUAUUAUUUUGUGUGCAUUUAAUAUUUUGUUUUGCCACCUGGGAAAAAUUUAAAAUAUCUUGCAGCAUCACCCACCUAACAAGCAUUGCAGAAUGAUAAUGGGUUUACAGUGCAGAAAUUUAUGAUGUGCCAAAGAGAUAAAGCACUGAUAUGACCUUCCCACGCAUGGAGUCAAAGAGCAUUUUCUUUUUCUUUUUUCUUUUUUUUUUCUUUGUGGUGGCUGACGACUACGGACACUAGAUCACUUGGUAAAGUUGAUAACACCUAAUGAAAAAAUAAUUGUUGAAAUUUAUGAAAAUUAGUUCUUUAGAAUAUUUUUUCACAUUUUUAAUUACUGCCUUUGUCAUUUGAUCGCUUAUCAUUGAUGAAUAUAACAGGGAAGAAUAAGGAACUCUAUAAAUAUAAUAUAUAUAUAUAUAUAUAUAUAUAUAUAUAUAUAUAUAUAUAUAAAUAUGUACAGCAUAUUAUUCUUUGGUCCUGAAGCUGAAGUUGUCUUGAUAGAUACUCUCCACUCCAUAAUGUCAGGAGACCAUGGGAACAACAUACUGAUCAGUCUAUUCAGUAUCCAUCAACCAUGAUGUUGACAGUUGAUCAUGAUGAUCGUGUUGUGCCACUGCACACAUUGAAGUUAUUAGCGGUAUUUGAAGAUAGAUACUGUAGUUUUUGUGAUCAUGAUAUACCUAUACCCAGGUUACUGAUUGAGGGUUACUAGUGAUUAAAUGGUUCACUCAAAACAUGUUACUACAGUUAGCCACACAAUUGAUGAAUACACUCUUGUUUCAACAAUUCGACCAAAAGGGGCAUUAUUCACCAUGUUGGUUCCUGCCACAGGAUCAAUCUACUGGUCUGAAAGAUAUCCAGCAGAGAUUGGCACCCCAUUACAAUGUCGAACUAUAGGUUUCUGAUCAAGGAAGUGUGCCAACUAAUAUAACAAGUUCUGGACAUGAGGAAAAUCAUAUGUGAUAGUUAACGAAUAUAAUAUAAUGUGGAAGUUAAUUGAAUCAUUUUAUGUUUUGAGAACCAUUGCAGUACUUCAUGAUAGUUUUUGCUGACUAAUAUUGUACUUGAAUUUGAAUUUGAAUUCGUAUAUUUGUUAUACUUUGAUAUACA